UGAGGGAUAUUGCACAAUGGGGGAAACCCUGAUGCAGCGACGCCGCGUGGGUGAUGAAGGUCUUCGGAUUGUAAAACCCUUUUGCCACUGACGAGAACGGACGGUAGGUGGCGAAUAAGCCUCGGCUAACUACGUGCC
rnacentral:rRNA from 1 species